UACGGGGGGAGCAAGCGUUGUUCGGAUUUACUGGGCGUAAAGGGCGCGUAGGCGGUCAGCACAAGUCAGUUGUGAAAUCUCCGGGCUUAACUCGGAAAGGUCAACUGAUACUGUGCGACUAGAGUGCAGAAGGGGCAACUGGGAAUUCUCGGUGUAGCGGUGAAAUGCGUAGAUAUCGAGAGGAACACCUGCGGCGAAGGCGGGUUGCUGGGCUGACACGUGACGCUGGAUGCGCGAAAGCCAGGGGAGCGAACGGG
rnacentral:rRNA from 1 species